rnacentral:rRNA from 1 species
GGCUCAGGAUGAACGCUGGCGGCGUGCUUAACACAUGCAAGUCGAACGAACCUUCGGGUUAGUGGCGGACGGGUGAGUAACGCGUGGGAAUCUGCCCUCAGGAGGGGGAUAACGGCUGGAAACGGCCGCUAAUACCCCAUAUGCCGAGAGGUGAAAUGAAUUUCGCCUGAGGAUGAGCCCGCGUCUGAUUAGCUAGUUGGUGAGGUAAGAGCUCACCAAGGCAUCGAUCAGUAGCUGGUCUGAGAGGAUGAUCAGCCACACUGGGACUGAGACACGGCCCAGACUCCUACGGGAGGCAGCAGUGGGGAAUUUUCCGCAAUGGGCGAAAGCCUGACGGAGCAACGCCGCGUGAGGGAUGAAGGCCUCUGGGCUGUAAACCUCUUUUCUCAAGGAAGAAGAUCUGACGGUACUUGAGGAAUAAGCCACGGCUAAUUCCGUGCCAGCAGCCGCGGUAAUACGGGAGUGGCAAGCGUUAUCCGGAAUUAUUGGGCGUAAAGCGUCCGCAGGCGGCCCUUCAAGUCUGCUGUUAAAAAGUGGAGCUUAACUCCAUCAUGGCAGUGGAAACUGUUGGGCUUGAGUGUGGUAGGGGCAGAGGGAAUUCCCGGUGUAGCGGUGAAAUGCGUAGAUAUCGGGAAGAACACCAGUGGCGAAGGCGCUCUGCUGGGCCAUAACUGACGCUCAUGGACGAAAGCCAGGGGAGCGAAAGGGAUUAGAUACCCCUGUAGUCCUGGCCGUAAACGAUGAACACUAGGUGUCGGGGGAAUCGACCCCCUCGGUGUCGUAGCCAACGCGUUAAGUGUUCCGCCUGGGGAGUACGCACGCAAGUGUGAAACUCAAAGGAAUUGACGGGGGCCCGCACAAGCGGUGGAGUAUGUGGUUUAAUUCGAUGCAACGCGAAGAACCUUACCAGGGUUUGACAUCCUGCGAACCUCUUGGAAACGAGAGGGUGCCUUCGGGAACGCAGUGACAGGUGGUGCAUGGCUGUCGUCAGCUCGUGUCGUGAGAUGUUGGGUUAAGUCCCGCAACGAGCGCAACCCACGUCUUUAGUUGCCAGCAUUUAGUUGGGCACUCUAGAGAGACCGCCGGUGAUAAACCGGAGGAAGGUGUGGAUGACGUCAAGUCAUCAUGCCCCUUACAUCCUGGGCUACACACGUACUACAAUGCUACGGACAAAGAGCAGCAAGUUCGCGAGGACAAGCAAAUCUCAUAAACCGUGGCUCAGUUCAGAUCGUAGGCUGCAACUCGCCUACGUGAAGGAGGAAUCGCUAGUAAUCGCAGGUCAGCAUACUGCGGUGAAUACGUUCCCGGGCCUUGUACACACCGCCCGUCACACCAUGGAAGUUGGCCACGCCCGAAGCCGUUACUCCAACCCUCGGGAGGAGGACGUCGAAGGUGGGGCUGAUGACUGGGGUGAAGUCGUAACAAGGUAGCCGUACCGGAAGGUGCGGCUGGAUCACCUCCUAA